rfam:Procavia capensis cont1.37089, whole genome shotgun sequence.
AAUCCUGUUAUACCUAGGAGUUAGGUACUUUGAAUCUGACAAGACACGUGUCUGUUCAGCACUCCAGAGGGAUUCGAGAACUGUCCUUCCUUGAAGAAUGCUGGAAUAUUGGAGUUUAGAGAACUAAG